rnacentral:rRNA from 1 species
CAGCACCUCAAGUGGUCAGGAUGAUUAUUGGGCCUAAAGCAUCCGUAGCCGGUUCUACAAGUCUUCCGUUAAAUCCACCUGCUUAACAGAUGGGCCGCGGAGGAUACUAUAAGACUAGGAGGCAGGAGAGGCAAGCGGUACUCAGUGGGUAGGGGUAAAAUCCGUUGAUCCAUUGAAGACCACCAGUGGCGAAGGCGGCUUGCCAGAAUGCGCUCGACGGUGAGGGAUGAAAGCUGGGGGAGCAAACCGGAUUAGAUACCCGAGUAGUCC